CCUACGGGGGGCUGCAGUGGGGAAUAUUGGACAAUGGGGGGAACCCUGAUCCAGCCAUGCCGCGUGUGUGAAGAAGGCCCUCGGGUUGUAAAGCACUUUCAGUGAGGAAGAACGCCUGGUGGUUAAUACCCAUCAGGAAAGACAUCACUCACAGAAGAAGCACCGGCUAACUCCGUGCCAGCAGCCGCGGUAAUACGGAGGGUGCGAGCGUUAAUCGGAAUUACUGGGCGUAAAGCGCGCGUAGGUGGCUUGAUAAGCCGGUUGUGAAAGCCCCGGGCUCAACCUGGGAACGGCAUCUGGAACUGUCAAGCUAGAGUGCAGGAGAGGAAGGUAGAAUUCCCGGUGUAGCGGUGAAAUGCGUAGAGAUCGGGAGGAAUACCAGUGGCGAAGGCGGCCUUCUGGACUGACACUGACACUGAGGUGCGAAAGCGUGGGUAGCAAACAGGAUUAGAUACCCUAGUAGUC
rnacentral:rRNA from 1 species